rnacentral:rRNA from 1 species
AUUGAACGCUGGCGGCAGGCCUAACACAUGCAAGUCGAGCGGAUGAAGGGAGCUUGCUCCUGGAUUCAGCGGCGGACGGGUGAGUAAUGCCUAGGAAUCUGCCUGGUAGUGGGGGAUAACGUCCGGAAACGGGCGCUAAUACCGCAUACGUCCUGAGGGAGAAAGUGGGGGAUCUUCGGACCUCACGCUAUCAGAUGAGCCUAGGUCGGAUUAGCUAGUUGGUGGGGUAAAGGCCUACCAAGGCGACGAUCCGUAACUGGUCUGAGAGGAUGAUCAGUCACACUGGAACUGAGACACGGUCCAGACUCCUACGGGAGGCAGCAGUGGGGAAUAUUGGACAAUGGGCGAAAGCCUGAUCCAGCCAUGCCGCGUGUGUGAAGAAGGUCUCCGGAUUGUAAAGCACUUUAAGUUGGGAGGAAGGGCAGUAAGUUAAUACCUUGCUGUUUUGACGUUACCAACAGAAUAAGCACCGGCUAACUUCGUGC